GCGCCCAUAGCUCAGUCCGGAUAGAGCACUGGUCUACGGAACCAGGUUUUGCGGGGGUUCGAAUCCCUCUGGGCGCGCCA
rnacentral:tRNA from 1 species